CGUCAGGCUCUCCUUGCUGCGGCUUGACCCAACUGCACAUCUCACCUCAGCGUUAUGAAAGUGCAAGGUCUUCAGCAAUGCUAUUGUGGUGCUGGGAUGGAGGAGGAUACAUUGCCUGCAAAACAAUGGUUUCUCUAGCACUUUGAGAACUGGGAAGAGACGCUUUGUUUCAAGACCUCUCAGGGUAUGGAAUCAGAAGAACAGUGUAAUUCUGAUGGAAGCACUGGAAACAUGCUAAUUGCUUUAUUUAAUUGCUAGAAUAAAACAAAACUGCUUUUUUGUUGUUGUUUUUUGUUUGUUUAAUACAAGGCAUUUCCUUCAGUGAUU
ensembl:lncRNA